rnacentral:tRNA from 1 species
ACCUGGCCGGCUUAGUUGGUGGAGCGUGUGGCUCUUGAUCUCAGAGUUGUGGGUUCAAGCCUCACGUUGGGUG